CUGCUGUUUUAUAAAGUGUUUUUAUAGCUGUUUAUCAUACUUCCUACCUCAAUAAAUGUAAGUGACUCUGCAGCAGCUGCUAAUGCAUAGCUCACCCCCUAGUCUCUAAAUUGGAUAAGAGUCUGCUAAAUUCCUAAGAACAGUAAUAAUUUGAUCUUAUGUGCUUCACACAAGCAGCGCAUCAAGACUUGCGUAUUGCAAUACAUAUCCUAUCAGGACCUGCGUAUCGUGAUACAUAUCAUGAUGUGAGCAUAUCGCUACACCCCUCUUCCACACUGACUCGUUCUGCACCAGCUCUUGCAUGUCUGCUGCUGUUUCUGUCUGUCUUUUAAGGUUUCUUUAGUGAUCCCUGAAGCAGUGGAGAGAGAGUAGGGGUGUACCCAUGAUCUUAUUACUGCAUGCUUUGAAUCUCACUGGGAGGGAACGGAGCCAGACUGAUACAGGGCAAUGUCAGAUGUGAAGGUGCAUUAAAACCUGAGGAAGGAGGGGUGGGGAUUACAGCAGGCUAAUCCCAACCCAGGUAAUCCCAAUUGACCUACAAUCCCCAACACUUUUGCUCCCCCUGCCUCUCCCUGGGUUUGUGCAUUGAUCCCCUCUGGAUUUUACAAUAGGAAAUCUACACUAUAGAAGUCAAUGUACAGUCCUCAAACACUACCAACAAAAAUGGUUGGCACAUCCUGGAAGACGAAGGGUUAACCAAAGUGGCCCGGAUGGUUUAGGCACUGACAGAGACAGCUGUGCAAGGACUCCUCUAGGGGCGGGGUUAAUUAUAUCCGUCAUUACGUUGGGUCAGUCUCCGUCAGUCAACAAAGGAGUUUGUGAACUCCUGAAUAGAAAACGAAGCCUCUGCUCACCUUACCACCCUCAAACGAAUGGUUUGGUGGAAAGAAUGAAUGGCACCAUACAGAGAGCUCUAAGCAAACUUUGCCAGCAGAAGCCAGAGACCUGGGACACAUCUGGACGCGGUUAUUUUUGGGUUUAGGACAAAAAAAAGUUGACCACACGUCAUUUACCAUAUUUUAUCAUGUUUGGACGAGAGGCCCGCUACCCCUCUGAAGUUCCAGAAUCUUAUUGAGGUGAACAGAACCGUUGAGGAUGUGCUUGGGGAAGAGGUUGUGUUUCCAGGUAUAAAAUUAAAGGACAAAAUUUGAGACUGUGAGGGCAAAUGCACAAACUGCAGUAAAUGAAACAAAGGCCCGAAAAGAAGCAGCAGUGGCAGCAAGACAAACAUUCACUCUAGAUGAAAAGGUACUAAGGAAGAACCGCAGGAGCCAGCAGAGGAAAGGGGGAAAAAUGGAUCGGGACCUUCUGGGCCCUUUCACCAUUACGGCUGUACAGGGCAAAAGUGCAGAUUUGACUGAUGAGAAAGGAAAGGUCUUUCCAAGUAUCAGCUUGGAUCACUUGGUGCCCUAUACAGAAGAGGUUCCUCGUUUACCACACAAAGUACUUUUCUAGGGUUGCUCUUGGAAGACCUGGAUCUCCGGCCCCAGCUGUGGUCAGUCGAGGAUCUCCGGCCCCAGCUGUGGUCAGACGAGGAUCUCCGGCCCCAGCUGUAGUCAGUCCAGUUAUUCUUGAGAAAUGUAAUAAAUGCAUAUAUAACAGCACUGGUGAGGAGAUUUAAUCUUGAAGGGGACGAAAAAGCCUUCCUCAUUGAAUCAUUCACCAUGAGCAAAAUAUGGCGGGGCUCAUAUCAAACACUGAGAGCUUGAUCCCAGCAAGUACAGUUUGAUUUUGGGCAUUAUAAAUGAACAUCACCACUGGACACUUGCUGUUCUGUAUCCAUCCCAAAAGAAGACUAUUUUCUUGGAUCCACUGGGAGAGUCCAAAGAAAUUUGUAGAGGAUGUUCUUGAAGGCAGACAGAGCAACUUUUCCCCCCGAAGGGAGUCCAUUGCCGUUAUCUGAAAGGAAAUGGCAAUCAGCCUUCUUAAGGAAUCAGGUAUAAAGGGUAAUAGUACAGUAUGAGAGUUAAUACCGAAGGCACUGAUGAUGCACUUGUAAUAUUCUAAGCUCUUUUUACUGCACAGAUUAAUUUUGGGCCUGGAUCAUGAAGCUGCCUUUAAGUUAGGUUUAGCUUAAAUUCUCACAAUUGACAAUACAGUAAUAGUUCAGUGAGCUUGUUAAAUCUAGCCAGGUUCAUUGCAUUAAAAUUGAUCACUUAAUUGCACUUUGUUGGGUGAGCAGCAGCGUUGUCGUGUUAAUCUUGUAUUGUACAUGAAUAAAAAAAAUUGUGCAGCUAAACAUUUAAAAUGACUGGUAAAUACAUACAUGAAGAACAAACUACUUCAUCUACAGUAGUGAAACAGUCUGGUGGUGGAGUUUCUAACUAUUUCUAACUUGCAUGUGAGACUGCAAUGUCUGGGGGCCACUAAAGUUGCUGUUUUCAGGAAUGAAUAGUUGAUACAGGUAAGAGUACCUGAGAUGUACCUAUUAGUGCACGUUCUAAAAUAUGCACCCAAAUAUGAUUAUUGCACAAAUGAUCUGAGCAGUCUGUCUGUUUUGUGGAGAGCAGGACACUCUGGGGGAUGCAGUGUCACAAGAUGAAUGGGUAAUUUAGUAGUGAACACUUUAGUUGUAUUUUUAAACUUUUUCAACUGCAACUCCAAACAUCUUCUAAUCAAAAUUAAAAAUAAAUAAAUACAGAAAUAGAAGUAGAUGUUUUCUAAAAGUUUAUGCAAAUUAAAUGUCCAUGGUUUCCAUACUUCGUUAUGAUUUCCUAAUUAAACUCUACACUGCAUUAGUUUUUCUGCACCCUCUACUUUCCUUUGUAUUUUUCAGAUUGCGUGCGAUGGCUGCAGCAGGUGGUUCCUCCACGUGUUUCACGGCCAUCAACUUAGGUCAGCUUUUGUGCAGCAUGCACAAUGUGAGGACACACAGAUGCUUCAUUUCCACUGCAGGCGCAACUGGGCCAGCCGCGCAAGAGCCGUGCCCCCGCCAAGAAACGUCUCCAGUGACGGGCCUCCCUAACCAGAGCUGUUGUAGCCUACUCGAGUCUCAGCUAAUGCUACCGUGGAACACAGAGAAGACGGCUUUGGGACUUUUUAUUGUUAUAAACAUUUCUUAUUGAUUGCUGCUGUUAGACAAUUACAUUACCUUUGCUGCUGUAACCAUUUCCAACGUUACUGAUAUUGAUAUAGUUAGCUGGUUAUUGCUGUAGCCGAACCUAUAUUUAAGUUGUGAUGGUUACUGCUGUUAUGGAUAUAGCUAUUUGUCCAUUGUUGCUAUUGCUGUAGCUAAAUCUAUAUUUGAAUUGUGAUAAUCAUUGUGAAUACUGCUGCUACUGAUCCAGCUAUUGUUAUUGCGACCAAUAUUUAGUUAUAUUUUGUAUAUGUGCUUGGCCAUUGUAGUGUGUUUUUAAUCUGAUUGUUUUAAUAAUUAAAUUAAUCCCUUUCAAAA